CGGACGGGUGAGUAAUGUCUGGGAAACUGCCUGAUGGAGGGGGGUAACUACUGGAAACGGUAGCUAAUACCGCAUAACGUCGCAAGACCAAAGAGGGGGACCUUCGGGCCUCUUGCCAUCGGAUGUGCCCAGAUGGGAUUAGCUAGUAGGUGGGGUAAAGGCUCACCUAGGCGGCGAUCCCUAGCUGGUCUGAGAGGAUGACCAGCCACACUGGAACUGAGACACGGUCCAG
rnacentral:rRNA from 1 species